rnacentral:rRNA from 1 species
UACGGAGGGUGCAAGCGUUAUCCGGAUUCACUGGGCGUAAAGCGCACGUAGGCGGCUUCUUAAGUCGGUGGUGAAAUCCUGGAGCUCAACUCCAGAACUGCCUUCGAUACUGGGAAGCUCGAGUCCGGGAGAGGUGAGUGGAACUGCGAGUGUAGAGGUGAAAUUCGUAGAUAUUCGCAAGAACACCAGUGGCGAAGGCGGCUCACUGGCCCGGUACUGACGCUGAGGUGCGAAAGCGUGGGGAGCAAACAGG